AAAAAAAAAAAAUUAUAACUCCCAAUUACUACAGUCCUCGUCACUUUCUACAGAAAAUCCCCAAACCACAAAACCCCACCGCCGACGACGCCAUUGCUCUCCACUCCGUCCGCCUCUGCUUCUUCAAUUUCUGCCUGAAAACUUUCACUUCUCCACUCGGUUCGCCUCGUCUUCUCCAUUUGAUGGCUGGAAUCUGGACUUCUCCAUCCGUUCGGCUCUUCGUCUCCAUAAAUUCCACAGUACCUUGUGCACUCCAAAGUGGGAAUUAUGUUUACUCCUCAGAAGGCCUUCUAGAUAAAGAGUUCUUAGAUGAGUAUAUCUCAAUGACUCGGGAUCCUCAACAACAAUGCCUCUUGAAUUGUAAAUGUUGCCCACUUGAAAGAUCAAGAAAUGAAGGUAUUAUAGAACCAUGUAAGGGUCACUUGAAGAGAAAUAUUAUAAAGGAAUGUUGGAGCAAAUGUGGCUGUUACAGACAGUGUGGCAAUCGUGUGGGGCAGCGUGGCAUAAAUUGCAAACUGCAGUGUUUUUUACUCCUGAUGGAAAGGGUUGGGGGCCUGGAACUCUAGAGAAGCUGCAAAAAGGUGCUUUUGUGUGUGAGUUUGUUGGAGAAAUUCUAACCAUCACAGAGUUGUAUGAGAGGAACACCAAGAACCAUAACUGUCCGGUUUUACUGGAUGCAUAUUGGGCUUCAAAAGGAGUUCUAAAAGAUGAAGAAGCUCUCUGUUUGGAUGCCACGUGCUACAGAAAUGUUGAUCAUAGCUUGCUUUUUUCACAACAAGAGACGUGGAUGCAUUUGAAGAGCUAACCUGGUUAAUGUGACUGGGAAACAGAGUGAAUUUGUGGCACUUCUUAAUCCUGCAAAUAAACCAUUGACACAAAUUGUUCAAGAUGACUCAUUCAUGGAAUUUGAAUUUAGACAGUAUCUAUUUGCUUGUCAAUCAAAGCUUUUAUUCAAGUUGAAUCGUCCCUUUGAGGUUGCAUCAAGAGGUUAUUUAUUUAUAAUUAUCUUUUCAAAGUCUCUGGCACAACAUGAGGUAUCUAAUAUCAGUUCUACUCUUUUCUUUCACUCCUCUUGGAGUUCUUCUAGAACAUAUAACCUUUCUGCAUGCGAGAAGUUUGGGUAAUUACUGUGUGCUUGGCUUUAAUCAGUGCAACCUUUUCUCAUUAUAAUGAAGGACUUGCAGUACUUCAUAUAAAAAAGGAGUUUCAUCGGCUCUUUGGUGAUUUAUAUUCUUUAUGUAGAGUUAAGUUCAUGAGGCCUAUAUUCCUAAUUGGAUAUGGAUCAGAUAUAGAAAGAAACUCUGUCAACCGUGCCUCUCUCAACUUGCUACCUUGGCUUAAACCAUCAAUUUGGCCUUCAGUUCCACCUGAUGCUUCCUUUGAAGUGUUUGCUAAAGAAAAGAGGUGGGCUGUUGACACAAAAAUGGAUUCAGUAAAAGUUUGAAAAACAAUCGUCUCGAGACACAGGUG